CUCCUGGGUUGACAGAGACACAAACAAGUGGUCAGUCAAAACAACAACAACCGAACACCUGGUCGGUAAACAAGUCGUAAAAUCGGACGUAUUUGACAAAAUGGACCACAUGUACUAUGUCGGACCCGGCCUGCCGCCACGACGCGAAGAGUCGCCACCCUCCCCUGGAGCUGCCCUGUUUACCUUCAUUCUUAUGGGCGCUUCUCUCGUCUUCCUCAUCGUCUUCGCCAUUGUUGUUUCCUAACUGUGGGUUCGAGGAAACGGAAGUGACGUACACCGAAUACUGGGCACAACGACAUGCGCACAUCAUCCACACAACGGCACUUGAAAUAUUCGGUUCCCAACCAUCAUGCCAGCGAGAAAGCAGUCAUCAAACUUGGACAGUACGGUGCCUCUCAUAGGCCAAAUACGUAGUACUACUCUGUACACGGUGUUUUAGAUGUGUUGGUAGAUUUAACUAAAUUUUCAUCGGAGCGAAGCAGCUAUUUUUGUUGUGAUUGAAAUUAAUUUGGUGCGGUGGGUCAGUAUGAAUUAUUAGGAGAAUCAUAUCAUAUUAGUAGUGUAUAAGUUUCUUCCGAAAUACCUUUCGUGUAAUUAGAUGUUCAGAAGCUGUACCUGGAUGCCAGACUGUAUGACUGAUACAUGUUUGAUGUGUUUUGUCAGACACUCGAUUCCGCUUUUUACCACGCCUUAUUAGCAGUUUGAACACGAAAUGUAAAACCAGAACAUGGUUUAAGUUAAUGACAGUUUUUACGAACAACAGCCAUUUAGUAUACAGAACCAUGCGAAAAAAAACAACAAUAGCAUCAUCCAAAUAGCUCCCAGACUCCAAUGGACUAUAGAUAUAAGAUAAUUUGUGUUUGAAAACUUCGCAAAGAAGCAGUAAACGAGUCAAGGAUUUUCCCAUCGGACUGACUGACUUGGACUGUGACACUUCUCAGACGACGGACGCACAGUGCUCAAGACCACAGGACAU